rnacentral:ncRNA from 1 species
AAUUAAUUUUAAAAACGUGUUGACUUUGUUAAUAGUAUUAUGUUAUAUUAAAUAGGUAGGCGUCAUUAAUAAUAUUAACGCGGGAUGGAGCAGUUCGG